rnacentral:rRNA from 1 species
GACGAACGCUGGCGGCGUGCCUAAUACAUGCAAGUUGAGCGAUGAAGAUUGGUGCUUGCACCAAUUUGAAGAGCAGCGCACGGGUGAGUAACGCGUGGGGAAUCUGCCUUUGAGCGGGGGACAACAUUUGGAAACGAAUGCUAAUACCGCAUAACAACUUUAAACAUAAGUUUUAAGUUUGAAAGAUGCAAUUGCAUCACUCAAAGAUGAUCCCGCGUUGUAUUAGCUAGUUGGUGAGGUAAAGGCUCACCAAGGCGAUGAUACAUAGCCGACCUGAGAGGGUGAUCGGCCACAUUGGGACUGAGACACGGCCCAAACGCCUACGGGAGGCAGCAGUAGGGAAUCUUCGGCAAUGGACGAAAGUCUGACCGAGCAACGCCGCGGGAGUGAAGAAGGGUUUCGGAUCGUAAAACUCUGUUGGUAGAGAAGAACGUUGGUGAGAGUGGAAAGCUCAUCAAGUGACGGUAACUACCCAGAAAGGGACGGCUAACUACGUG